GCCGACAGAUCGUUGCGUGUGGACUGGGCUUAAUUUAUUAAUCAAAAUGUAGGACAACAGUUAGUGAGGAAGGUAGAUUUAUCACAGUGCUUUUGUGACAGUUGCAAGAUACCUGUAAAACUUUGAGUGCUUGUAUUUAACAUUUUUGAGAACAUGGAAACAUUUCAAGAGAAACUUAAAAGAGAAUCGAGUAAAAUAAUACAAUGGCAAGUGAAAAAGGACUUGCAGUUUAAGCAAAUGAAACAAAAAUUACAAGAACUUGAAGAAUUAGUAGAAAGACAAAGGAAAAGUCUAUUACAACAGCAAAUGAAUUGUGAAGAAGUGUCUCAGGAAUAUGCUAAUGAAGUGAAGCAUCAAGAGGAACUCAAAGAAAAAGUCCAGCACACCCGUAAAAUUUCUGGAAUACUGCAAGAAUAUUUUCAAAGUAUGAAUACCACUUUUGUGUCAUUUGAAAGAAC